rnacentral:lncRNA from 1 species
AAUUGCUAAUCCAACCAGCAAGUACUGCAACUCACAGCUGGCCAUGAGUUAUCACAGCCUCUGUCUCUCAGUCCUCCAGCCACCCUCCAAGGCAGAGAUUUACCUGUCAUUUCUUACAGAUGAGGAAAGCUCAGAGAGGGGAUGAACUCUUCCUAAGGUGACCCAGCUAAGAAGUGGCAGGGUGGGGAUUUCAAUCCUGAGCUCCUGGUCGUUGGUCACCCCAGCUGUGGGCCCUGUGGCUGGAGAAAAACUAGACCCUGCACCUGCUGUGGGCCAUCAGAGUCAGUGGAGGUCAGAGCCUGAGUGUGAGGAAUCUCUGAAUCGGCACAUGAGAAGGUCAACAGGAAGAAAGAAGAUACUUGGACUCCAGGAAAUGAUCACCGUGGAAACCCAUCUGCUGCUUCUUGUCUACGGCUGUUUGUUCCUCCAGCUCUGGGCUGCCUGAGUGUCUCACAGCAGAAUUAGCAAGUGCGGAGGCUGAAGGUUUCUAGAGGCUCUGAGGUCACAGCUCUCGCUUGAGUGCACAUAACUAUAAGCCAUGAUGAGGAAACUGAGGCUUAGAGAGGUUAAAUGACAUGACCAAAGUGUCAACAGCUAACAGGCAGGAAAGCCAGGACUCAAAUCCGGCAGCCUGUUUCCAGAGUCCACGCUUGGAACCACGGAGCUGUAUUUCUUAACAAAGAAAUCUCACUCUGUCGCCCAGGCUAGAGUGCAAUGGCGCAA